rnacentral:rRNA from 1 species
GAUGAACGCUGGCGGCGUGCCUAAUACAUGCAAGUCGAGCGAGAAGCUUGGAAAUGACGCUUCGGUUGAUUUUCCAAGCGGACAGCGGCGGACGGGUGAGUAACGCGUAGGCAACCUGCCCCUGACAGGGGGAUAGCCAUUGGAAACGAUGAUUAAAACCUCAUGACACCGUAGUAGCACAUGCUACAUCGGUCAAAGAUUUAUCGGUCAGGGAUGGGCCUGCGUCUGAUUAACUGGUUGGUGAGGUAACGGCUCACCAAGGUGACGAUCAGUAGCCGACCUGAGAGGGUGAUCGGCCACAUUGGAACUGAGACACGGUCCAAACUUCUACGGAAGGCAGCAGUAGGGAAUCUUGCACAAUGGGCGAAAGCCUGAUGCAGCAACGCCGCGUGAAGGAUGAAGCCUUCGGGUUGUAAACUUCUGUUCUAAGGGAAGAAAGAAAUGACGGUACCUAG